rnacentral:rRNA from 1 species
CAGCCGCCGCGGGAAUACGAAGGGGGCUAGCGUUGUUCGGAUUUACUGGGCGUAAAGGGCGCGUAGGCGGACUGAUAAGUCAGGGGUGAAAUCCCAAGGCUCAACCUUGGAACUGCCUUUGAUACUGUUUGUCUUGAGUUCGAGAGAGGUAAGUGGAACUGCGAGUGUAGAGGUGAAAUUCGUAGAUAUUCGGAGGAACACCAGUGGCGAAGGCGGCUCACUGGUCCAUUACUGACGCUGAGGUGCGAAAGCGUGGGGAGCAAACAGGAUUAGAUACCCGCGUAGUCCCUGUCUCUUAUAC